GUUACGCUCAAAACAUUGCCUCCUAGAUUGCACUGAAAAAGUGAAUCGGGAAACUGUCACAAUUACAGCAGCACAAAAGUAGCCACAGAAGAUGCGAUAACAAGCUUAUCUUCGCGGAAAGUACACGUAUUAUCCCAUACAGAAGAAACUUGAAAAAAUUGGUGCCUUGCUCUUCUGGCUGCUGCUGCCUGAGGGCCACAUCUUUAAAUGAUAUCUUGAAGCUUGACAUCCGCAGAUUUGAAGGGCACAUUUUUAAGCAUGAAGAGUACACAUGUACUUUUUGUGUAUUUUGCUAGAGUCUGCCACAUUUAUGCUCAUUCGAUAGGGGCAAGUCAAAAAAUCCCCAGUUACUGCUUGAAGCCGAAAGCUCCAGGAAACACAUGUGGGAGAGGUCCAUUUACUUCAUGGUAUUUUGAUUCUGAGAGCCGUAAAUGCAAGGCUUUCACCUUCGGCGGAUGCAACGGCAACCUAAACAGGUUUUCUUCGGAAGGACAGUGCCAACGCUGGUGCUUACGUGGUGUUCCAGAGUAACCAGUCUGUAGCUUGGCUGUCGAAAAAGGAAAAGGGAUUGGGGGCAUUUUCGCAUGGUCAUAUAAUGCUACACAGGACCAAUGUCAAGUGUUCUUGUACAGCGGGUUUGGUGGAAACUCGAACAAAUUCAAAAGCUGUUAUCAGUGCAUGAACAG